UACGGGAGGUGCAAGCGUUGUUCGGAGUGACUGGGCGUAAAGCGCACGUAGGUGGGCUUGUAAGUCGACUGUGAAAUCUCCGGGCUUAACCCGGAAAGGUCAGCCGAUACUGCGGGGCUAGAGUGCAGAAGGGGCAACUGGAAUUCUCGGUGUAGCGGUGAAAUGCGUAGAUAUCGAGAGGAACACCUGCGGCGAAGGCGGGUUGCUGGGCUGACACUGACGCUGAGGCGCGAAAGCUAGGGGAGCGAACGGG
rnacentral:rRNA from 1 species